CUUAUAUAAAGCGACAGAUUACAGAACAACAAAUCAAAGUUUUAUAGAUAGCUCUCACAGUUUUUCAUUUUCUCUCUUGUAGCUCAAAUCUCUCUCACGAAAGACUUAGAAAUUUCAAAGCCAAUUUCAUAGCUCUCAAAUCAUGGAAAUUUCAAAACUCUAGGUCAUGGCAAUCGCAUAGCUCUUGGUCUCAACGCGGUGGCUGUGUCUCAUCGUCACUCACAAAGUCGAAGUCGAAGUCUUCCGUCAACUCCUCUGCUCUUCCCCUGCCUCAUCUAAUCUCCCCCAAUUUUCUAGGGUUUCAAGCUCAAUCGCCACUGCGACACGAAGAUCAUUUUGCUUGAUUCGUCUCGAUUCUUCAAUGGAGGCAAAUUCGAGUCUACUACAAAGGAUGUUCAAGCUAAUAAAAAACCCCAUCCCAAGGAUAGAUUUGACUCAAGAACUAAUGCGAUGAAUGAUGGAGGUAAUGAUGCUACUUUGAUUGUUUUUAGCAGGUAAGAUUGAAUUUAUUAAUGUACUUGUUCCGGCAGUUUUUUGACAAUACUCAUUUUGGUAAUUGCAUUAUGACAUGCCGUCCAUGCAAAGACUUUAAUGUGAUUCUUAAAAUUUUGGUCCUCUAUAGUGCUGACCAAAAACGGUUUCUUUUUGUUGCCUAUUGUUUUAGCCUCACUAGCCACACUGUAUGCACAAUUAAACAGGAACUGACCAUGCGGUGUGAAACUCCAUAUUAUUUUAUCUCUUGCUAAGAGGAAUAUCCAAAUUUGCAUCUAUGUCUUCUCUUGAAAAUAAGUUGCUGAUAAGUUCAGUGUUCCAGCAUCUUUUUUCCAUAUCAAUUGCAUGACUAAUUUGGAUAAACUACAACUUGCAAUCAACUCUUUUUGUCAGCUUCAAGUCUAUGGCCGGUUGCCUUGUUUUUCAUGUUUCCAUAAAGUAAUUUAAAUGUUGUAUUAAAAUCCCUUGGUUUGUCAUUUGUAUUUGGUUGGCCUUGUCACUAGGAAUUCCUUGUCUGAGUAGACCCCACGCCCUUUGAUCAAUGUAUUGAGAGCUUCUUGUGAAAUUUUCUUAAGCAGGAUAUUUCUUUCUUGUCCUAUCUACUCCCCACUGUAAGUUCUUCAUAGCUUCACCCCCACCCCCUCCAAAAAAAUAAAAAAAUAAAAAAAUAAAUUAGAAAAAAUAAAUUUAGGCUAAGCAUGUUAGACUGAGUACUCUAAAUUUUGAACUUAAUGUGCAGCAUCCAUAUGCUCCUCUUAGCUAACCUAUUUUGUUAAGAUCUCUAAGCUAUAGGUUAAAUUGAAAAAGUGCUUAACUGCCUUGAAAUAGCAGUAGUCAAUGGUCAAGUAGGUAAGGCUGUAUAUUAAGGGAUGGGGAGUGGAUGGUGGGGAUCCAUGUGAGGAGUCAUGGACAGGAGUGUCAUGUUUUGAUUCAUUUGCUAUACGCCUGUAAGAGUGUAAUGCACUUAGCUAACCUAUUUUUCUAUUAACAAUGCCACAUUUUCAAAAAGGCCCAAAACCUUACCCUUCCAUGUUCUACUACCCUUUGUGCAGUAAAAUUCAAGGACUAAACCUAUUGGAGGCCAGCUUAAUAACCUGCAUCAUUUCAAACACCUGCAAGUGAAUAUGUCUUGUUAUAUUUAUCUCUUAUUGAAGUUGUACCAGCAUUGUUUAUAUAAUUCUUUAUUCUGGUUUCUUCUUUAGGGAUGUCAGCUACAAUAACAUUCAGGGUGAAAUUCCAUAUAGCUUACCUCCCAAUGCCACAAAUAUGUAGGAUGUCUGUUUUGUAAAUUGUGAUUCUUGUAUGCUUAAUUUUUUUUUUCUUUAAGUUUUUGGUGAUUAUUCUACUUUUUCGGGAAUAGAGAAAUAUGGCAUACAACUAUUUGAGACAAAAUAUUCCCCACUCUCUACCAGCCAUGAAAUGUCUCUAACAUCAAUGAGUUACUUCUCCCCCCAAGUGCCUAUUUACUGAAUUGCUUUUGCUUUUUGGUUAUUCAAUCAAAAUCUCUUAAUUCUUUUCUUGUAGAAAUCUAAACCACAAUUAGUUAUCUGGACCAAUUGACAAUGUCUUUACAGGCUUAUAGAAUCUCAGAGAGAUGUAUGUGUUCUUCACCCAAUCCUUAUAUUUCCUUUUCCCUGGCGUUUGAAGUGACAAGAAAAUAAUGCAAAGUACAAUAUUCCAUGAAAUACAAAGAAGAUGUUGUUGAUGCUAGUAGAGCCUUGAGAGGGUAUGAAGUUGGUGAUGAUCUUGAUGAAGGUAUGUAGCAAAUUAUGCAGCAAACGAGAACUCUCCAAAUACCUUUUAGUGUACAAGGAUUGGCUAUUGUAAAUACUUUUAAGUGUACUAUUCAAAACAGGUUUUGUGUAGAAAGUAGUGAUUCAUGUUUCAAAUUUAAAAAUAUAAAGGGCAAUAGACAGAGUAGUUGAGUUAUGUUGAUUUGUACAAUUUGUUUCAUUGUGUUAAAAAGAGUAGUUGAUUGGCUGUUGUAAUUCAAUUUGGAAUUGAACAAUUGCGUUUAUGUUUAUGUUU